GAUGAACGCUAGCUACAGGCUUAACACAUGCAAGUCGAGGGUUAACAGGAGGAAAGCUUGCUUUUCUUGCUGACGACCGGCGCACGGGUGCGUAACAGGUGUGCAAUCUGUCCAUAGUCGGGGAAUAGCCCAGCGAAAGUUGGAUUAAUGCUCCAUGUGAGCGAGUGCCGCAUGACACACGCUUGAAACGUAAGGACUAUGGGUGAGCACGCUUCUGAUUAGAUAGUUGGUGGGGUAACGGCUCACCAAGUCGACGAUCAGUAGGGGUUCUGAGAGGAAGGUCCCCCACAUUGGAACUGAGACACGGUCCAAACUCC
rnacentral:rRNA from 1 species